GCCCGGUCGCCUCGCGGUUGCCGUAGGCAAAAGUUCUGGAAAGCAGGCAGUGGUGCUGUCCGGUCCUUCCUUUCUUUCAUCCACUGUGGGGUGCUGCACCAACAAGGAUUCCACCAAAUGCCAGCACUUUGAAACUGGACUUCCUAGCCUCUGCUACUGUGAGUUGAUGGCAGACAUCUGUCAGAAAGUCUCCCUCCAGUCCUGAUUUUCCUCCUACAAAGGGCCAUGCAGCUCUUGCCUGGGAGAUGGGGUCUUGAGUCCAUGCUGACUGCUGGACUUGCCCUGCCAACAGAAUGGGAUGGGAGUGAUGAUGUGCUGCAUGAGGCUUCGCAUGCCUUCCUUUGCGUUGAAACCCGCCGAGGUCCAGUGAACAGGCCUGGACUAACCUGCUGGAUGAUGAGAGAUGUUUGGCUGCAUCGCUCGAUUGCCUCAGCCGUGACAAGCCAACUGCCA